rnacentral:rRNA from 1 species
GACGAACGCUGGCGGCGUGCUUAACACAUGCAAGUCGAACGGAAAGUCCCUGCUUUUGUGGGGUGCUCUAGUUGCGAACGGGUGAGUAACCCGUGAGUAACCUGCCCUUGACUUUGGGAUAACUUCAGGAAACUUGGUCUAAUACCGGAUAGGAGCUCCUGCUUCAUGGUGGGGGCUGGAAAGUUUCGGCGGUUGGUGAUGGACUCGCGGCGUAUCAGCUUGUUGGUGGGGUAGUGUCUUACCAAGGCUUUGCCGGGUAGCCGGGCUGAGAGGGUGACCGGCCAAAUUGGGACUGAGAUACGGCACAGACUACUACGGGAGGGAGCGGUGGGGAAUAGUGCAAAAGGGGAGGAAGCCUGAUGCAGCAAAGCCGCGUGGGGGAUGAGGGCCAUGGGGUUGGAAACCGAAUUCGCCUGUGACGAAGCGUGAGUGACGGUAAUGGGUAAAGAAGCACCGGCUAACUACGUG